UUAAUUGCUUUUGUCAAACCUGUUAAUUAAUUCCAUAAACAGUUAAAAUCAUUCAUUGAUAUGCAAAAUAGUGUGUUUAUUGACUUCAUAUGUGGUUGACUACAGUCAAAGAUUGUUCAUUGGUUACCCGAUGGUUUUUUUAAUUGCUGAAUGUUCAGUAAUUUGCGUGCUUGUACAUGUGGAUAGUUCAAGCAAAAAAUUAGUUAGCUCAAGGUGUUUGUCCGCAGUACUUUGCAACUUCCAAGGAAACACAGUCGAAGACUUCGUAAGCCACUUCACAUGAUUUGGAUGCUGCAAUUGAGGCAAAUAAAGCAAAAACUCCAGAAACGUAUAGGUAAAGUACCUUCGACAGUUUUUGUACUAAUCUCAUGAGUUUUCUGAGCAUUUUCCAAGCAUUUGGUCACAGCCUGCCGAGUGGCUACGACAUACUCCUUCUGAGUAACUCCCUCAGUGUAUAAAGAAACCAGUCCUUCCACAGUGGGAAAUCCGUAUUCAUUGACCUAAAGAUGCGAGUUUAUUGCAAAAUAUCCAUCACACAUGAUUUAUUUGUACUUACGGCGUUUAAUUUGCGAUAAACGCAUUGCAAGAGGCACUAGAACAGUACAAAUAAUGAUUAGUUAAUUUGCAAUGUGUAUUCACACGGAACAAUUAGACAAUUUCUAGUAUGAGUAAUCCAAUUAAUAAAACUUUUUGAUUGUAUGCAAA